rnacentral:rRNA from 1 species
GACGAACGCUGGCGGCGUGCUUAACACAUGCAAGUCGAACGGAAAGGCCCUGCUUUUGUGGGGUGCCCGAGUGGCGAAGGGGUGAGUAACACGUGAGUAACCUGCCCUUGAUUUUGGGAUAACUUCAGGAAACUGGGGUUACUACCGGAUAGGAGCCCCUGUUGCAUGGUGGGGGUUGGAAAGUUUCGGCGUUUGGGGAUGGAUUCGCGGCUUAUCAGCUUGUUGGUGGGGUAGUGGCUGACCAAGGCUUUGACGGAUAGCCGGCAUGGGAGGGGGACCGGCCACAUUGGGACUGAGAUACGGCCCAGACGCCUACGGGAGACAGCAGUGGGGAAUAUUGCACAAUGGGCGGGAGCCUGAGGCAGCGACGCCGCGUGCGGGAUGACGGCCUGCGGGUUGUAAACCGCCUUCGCCUGUGACGAAGCGUGAGUGACGGUAAUGGGUAAAGAAGCACCGGCUAACUACGUG